UCAAGAACAUCUUGAUGUCUUCCUUGCACAGAUGCUUGAUGGUCUGGUGAAAAGAAUUGCAUUGGACUUUGAUGUUGAGAAUGUUGCGAAAACAGCCAAAGCUUCUAAAGAAACGAAGAUUGCUGAAGUUGGGGCUGACAUUGAACUGCUAACAAAACAGAAGUGAAUGUUGGUCUGUGUAUUGUUGGGAAAAAUCAAAAGCUACAAGCUCAUAAAAGGGAUCAACAGUUAGGAAACUGUUUUGACCUCUAGUUUGGAUGACGCCCGGGUCAUGCGAUGAGAAGAUCGACUCAGUGACUGGAUCUCCAUUGUUUGAAGAAUCUGCUGCCCUCUUGCAUGCAACGAGGUCUUUGGGGAUUUUAUGCAAAAUUUAAUUUGGCUACACCCGACACACCCCAUCCCUUCUUAUAAAUAAAAAAGCCUCAAAAAAUUUAAUUUUGG